UUUGCCAUUAUUCUUCUCUACAAUGCCCUCAAAAAAGGGUUAAUUCUUGCUAAUUUCAACUAUAGAGUAGGGUUUUUAGUGCUAAUUAAAUCGAUACUCACUUAUGUAUAAGUGAACAGUAGCAUGGUAAUAAUGUCUAUUGAAGUUCCAUAUCUCCACUUUUGCUAUAAAUAUUUGGGAAUCAAGGUUUUAUAUUAUGUAGUAUACAACCUCAACACAUUCAACCCACCUCACAUAGUUUGAGAAGUAAGGUGUGUUGGGGAUUGAAGGUGAGUGAUGAGCGCGAUGGAGAAGCAGGGCACGUGCACUACUAACUCACACACACGCGCGCGCACCAUUUUUCAACAUGAAAGAGUUAGUUCUUCAUGUGCCCAUCUUCACCAUCAUGAACCACUCCAUCUUGUCUGAUUAUCACUGCAAGAGAAAGCUACAAUUUCAAGUGGCUCAUCAUGCAAAUACAAAUCUGUAUCCCGACUUGACGACCAGCUUUCGAAAUAAUCCGCAACCAAAGCUUCACGAUAUACGUGCAUCAUUACUAUGGAUCAAUUUCUGCACACAUACCCCAAAUAUUUUGAACAAGACUGAAGCAACUUCCAUCUUCUCUAUUUAUGUUGACGGAUACGGGAAAAAGAGGUGCAAAUCACUUUGUAUAAUGUACAACAUCUCGGCUACUAAACCCAUACACGAAUCAUUCAGAAAUAUUCUCAUAAUGUGUAUUCAAAAGUUAAGAGGCAUAUGCAUAUUCCAAAUUGUACCGAUACAAAAGUUGUCGCAAUUGAAUCUUCAAUUUUUCUAAAGUGCUCAAUCGAAA